rnacentral:rRNA from 1 species
AAUAUUGUGCAAUGGAGGGAACUCUGACGCAGCGACGCCGCGUGAGCGAUGAAGGUCUACGGAUCGAAAAGCUCUGUCCUUGGGGAAGAAGGUCUUCGGACUUGACGGUACAUAAGGAGGAAGCCCCGGCUAACUUCGUGCCAGCAGCCGCGGUAAUACGUAGGGGGUAAGCGUUGUCCGGAAUUAUUGGGCGUAAGGGUGCGUAGGGGGCCUUUUAAAUCAGAUGUGAAAGCCCACGGAUUAAACGUGGAACUGCAUUUGAAACUGGAGGGCUUGAGUAUCGGAGAGGGUAGUGGAAUUCCCAGUGUAGCGGUGGAAUGCGUAGAUAUUGGGAGGAACACCAGUGGCGAAGGCGACUACCUGGACGAAAACUGACGCUGAGGCACGAAAGCUAGGGGAGCAAACA